AGGCUUGAAAAACAACUCCAGGAGCUCUCAAGUGAGCAAAGGUCACUGUGCUGUUCGGAUGCUCCCCAGAAUCUACUUUGGCCCCACUGGAUGGAGGCUUUUGGGACUCCAAUUUGAGCUUUUCCCACAACUGUACCCCUCUGGCCUUCCACUCUGUCAAGCACUGGAUGAGACUUGAAAUAUCCAAACAACUCUGGGAAGCAGCAGAAAGCACAAACCAGGGUUUGGGUCUUCCAUUUCCUGAUUUAGACUGGAUCAGCUCCUCUGCUGCUCCUCCACUCGCUUCUGGAGACAAAUGGUCAGUUUUUUUCUCUCCAAGAGGUUGAUCUCUCUGGAUUUAUUCAAGGUCACAUCCCACAGUAAUUAUCAAGGUAUACGCUUGGCUAAGUUUAGAGGACACUGUCUAUUUUCUGAAGCAGAUGUUGACAUGGAAGCUGCCAUUAUCGUCAUGGUGAUCUGUUUAUUUACAUCCAUCCUGAGUACUAGAAGACAAGAUGAACAUCUGCUCUAUGAGCAGUCUGCAGAGAAUACAGAGAAAGAGAAGGUGAUAUGAAACUUAUUCCUCAUCAGAACUGUGAAUCAGUAAUAGAAGAUCCAGCUGGAGAGAGUGAGCCCACUGGUGUGAAUGAGUAACCAAGUGCACCUGCCUCCUUCCCAGAUGAUGGAGAGAGUGGAAUCGCAGAGUCCAAAUUCAAGCCAGGUUUUGUUGCCAGCAUCUCAUCCAUCCCCCUAACGAGCAAGGAGCAAUCUUGAGGAGGGAUCUUCAAAAUACCAGCCCAGCAGAAAGACUCAUUUGGUUGUCAUUAGCCAUCUACACAUGAACUUGGUGGGACGAAUGCUAUGUAGGAACUGAAUUAAGUUUUGAGGCCAUUUCUCCAGAGACUGAGGUGGAAUAGGGGAAAAGAAUACCCACAGUAAUUGUGCUGUAUAAUUACAGCAACCAGGUUUGGCCCAGGAGAAGAAACAAGAAAAUGUGUCCCCCUCCCUUCCUUCUUUGAAAAGGUGCUGGAAGAGAUGUUUCUACAUUUAUUCUUGCUAUACCUUUAAAGUAAAUAUCUCUUUGUGAAAGCUUAUUGAUGUCAAGUGUUUCAAUGGAUCUGAGACCCUCUUCACUGGCCUCUAGUUAUGGGAGGGUGGUAGAGCCAGGAGCAGCUCAAACCAAUGGCAGUAGUGAUAAAGUUCAGUCCCAUCCCAAAAGGUUAUAUCCUAGAAACCUGAGUGGAGAUGUAGACUGUCUGGCUCUGGCAGAGUAGAGCAGAACACACCUUCUCCAUGCUAUUUUACUUUCAGUGGUACCACAUAUUGAUUAUCUGGGACACCAGGAGAAUCACCUUUAUUGUUGCUUUAAGAACUAUGGUUUGCAUUCAUGUUCUAUGGUUACAGGUUUUAAGCUUACCCCUGGCUGAUUUUUCAAGGACCACAGACAGUUUUGGUCUAGGGAAGAAUCUAUAACACUUCCCUAGGGGACAUUCCUAUAAUGUUGUGUACCAGUGUACACAGUGCAGGUGGGAAAACAUGACCCAGAUGAUAUUGUGAUCUCCUUGGUUGAGCUGAGAUUUUCUCUUCUAAGCCCCCAAACCCAUUCACUCCUGUGUAUUUUGUUGUCUCCACUAUUCUAGGUAACUUCCCCAUCUCUGUUUCAUCAUUUUCUUUGGCAAAUACACUUACCUGCCAUUUGGGGUUGUCUUUUGUGGACUACUAAGUUUCUUGGAGGAGGAGUUAGAGUUGGUCUGGAAUGGAUAUGGUAGAUUCACUCAGGAUUUAGUUUAGGGAAAGGCCCCUGACAUCAAAGUGAUGAAGAAAACAAAGACUCAUUCCAUAGCAGCACCACAGGCUCCCCUGGCUUUUCAAAAUGGCCAAAGUGAUUAAUGGGAGAGGUGAAUAAGCAACCCAAAAGAGAGUCAUAUUUGAACUUGCAUCCAUCUCUGGAUGAACAUCUCUGGAUGGAUGGUGCCUCAUCCAUUCCUCUAUGUAAGCCCAGUAUUUCAGGAUCGGGGUUAGGGGGCUUGUUUUUAAACUGUAUCCCACUAGCAUAGGCUUUUUGUCUUCCAUCCUCUAUUAUACAGACCCAUUAGCCCUAAACUACAAGGACAGUUGGUUGUCUCUCGAACCAAGAAUGACGAUUGUCUUUGUGUGUUUUUGUGCACAAAGACACCUGUGCAUGAAGAUUUAAGUGGAAAAGUCGAUGCACAGAGACAGUCCCACUCUCUUGGCGUUGGAAGCCUGGGUCCAUUGGCACGAAAAGUUGUUACACCUGGAGACUUCCUCAGCUGCAUUGGAUAGCCAUGUUGUCUUUUGUGCUCCAUCACGCCCAUAGCACUCCACAGUGCCUUGCUGCAUCGCCAUCUCAGCCGUUGAACCUUCUUGUUGGUUUCUUCCGCCUGUUCCGCCGAAGCAGUCUUCACAUGCUGGGUGAGCAAAGCCCUAGUUCACCAGGGGUCGACGUUGACCUGAUGGCUACCCUCACAAGGUUUAGCCAGCCUGUCGAAGCCGUUGCUCGGGGUGUGGCCGCUGCCGCAUGCUAGCAGCUACUAGGAGCCACAAGUGAGAGCUGGGUGUCAGGUGAGGGUCAGUGGCUGGAGAGCUGCCCUAGAAGGGCACGACAAGCCCUCCAUACCAGAGAUAUUACCCCUCCCUGAGCACCCAAUACACCCUACAAGGACAGUACUUACUUACAUACCCAUUGCACAUAAACAUAGC